rnacentral:rRNA from 1 species
GGAAAGAGCCCAGCGCUGAAUCCCGCGGUCGUCGCGGCCGCGGGAGAUGUGGCGUUCGGGAGGUUCCGCUUUCUCGUCGUCGCGACUCCUGUCCAAGUUCGUCUUGAACGGGGCCGUUUUCCCGUAGAGGGUGCCAGGCCCGUAGCGACGGAGGGCGGCGGCGAGAGGGACUCUCCUCAGAGUCGGGUUGCUUGAGAGUGCAGCCCUAAGUGGGUGGUAAACUCCAUCUAAGGCUAAAUAUUACCGCGAGACCGAUAGCGAACAAGUACCG